ACACGUGGGUAACCUGCCUGUAAGACUGGGAUAACUCCGGGAAACCGGGGCUAAUACCGGAUGGUUGUUUGAACCGCAUGGUUCAAACAUAAAAGGUGGCUUCGGCUACCACUUACAGAUGGACCCGCGGCGCAUUAGCUAGUUGGUGAGGUAACGGCUCACCAAGGCAACGAUGCGUAGCCGACCUGAGAGGGUGAUCGGCCACACUGGGACUGAGACACGGCCCAGACUCCUACGGGAGGCAGCAGUAGGGAAUCUUCCGCAAUGGACGAAAGUCUGACGGAGCAACGCCGCGUGAGUGAUGAAGGUUUUCGGAUCGUAAAGCUCUGUUGUUAGGGAAGAACAAGUACCGUUCGAAUAGGGCGGUACCUUGACGGUACCUAACCAGAAAGCCACGGCUAACUACGUGCCAGCAGCCGCGGUAAUACGUAGGUGGCAAGCGUUGUCCGGAAUUAUUGGGCGUAAAGGGCUCGCAGGCGGUUUCUUAAGUCUGAUGUGAAAGCCCCCGGCUCAACCGGGGAGGGUCAUUGGAAACUGGGGAACUUGAGUGCAGAAGAGGAGAGUGGAAUUCCACGUGUA
rnacentral:rRNA from 2 species